UGGGGAAUAUUGCACAAUGGCGGGAACUCUGAUGCAGCGACGCCGCGUGAACGAAGAAGGCUUUCGAGUCGUAAAGUUCUUUCAUAUGGGAAGAUAAUGACGGUACCAUAAGAAAACGCCCCGGCUAACUACGUGCCAGCAGCCGCGGUAAUACGUAGGGGGCUAGCGUUGUCCGGAAUCACUGGGCGUAAAGGGUUCGCAGGCGGAAAUGCAAGUCAGGUGUAAAAGGCAGUAGCUUAACUACUGUAAGCAUUUGAAACUGCAUAUCUUGAGAAGAGUAGAGGUAAGUGGAAUUUUUAGUGUAGCGGUGAAAUGCGUAGAUAUUAAAAAGAAUACCGGUGGCGAAGGCGACUUACUGGGCUAAUUCUGACGCUGAGGAACGAAAGCGUGGGUAGCAAACAGG
rnacentral:rRNA from 1 species